UACAGAGGGCUCAAGCGUUGUUCGGAUUCAUUGGGCGUAAAGGGUGCGUAGGCGGCGUGGUAAGUCGGGUGUGAAAUCUCGGAGCUUAACUCCGAAACUGCAUUCGAUACUGCCGUGCUUGAGGACUGGAGAGGAGACUGGAAUUUACGGUGUAGCGGUGAAAUGCGUAGAUAUCGUAAGGAAGACCAGUGGCGAAGGCGGGUCUCUGGACAGUUCCUGACGCUGAGGCACGAAGGUCAGGGGAGCAAACGGG
rnacentral:rRNA from 1 species